GCCGAUAGCAUGCAGAGUCGAGCGGAAACGAGUUAUCUGAACCUUCGGGGAACGAUAACGGCGUCGAGCGGCGGACGGGUGAGUAAUGCCUAGGAAAUUGCCCUGAUGUGGGGGAUAACCAUUGGAAACGAUGGCUAAUACCGCAUGAUGCCUACGGGCCAAAGAGGGGGACCUUCGGGCCUCUCGCGUCAGGAUAUGCCUAGGUGGGAUUAGCUAGUUGGUGAGGUAAGGGCUCACCAAGGCGACGAUCCCUAGCUGGUCUGAGAGGAUGAUCAGCCACACUGGAACUGAGACACGGUCCAGACUCCUACGGGAGGCAGCAGUGGGGAAUAUUGCACAAUGGGCGCAAGCCUGAUGCAGCCAUGCCGCGUGUGUGAAGAAGGCCUUCGGGUUGUAAAGCACUUUCAGUCGUGAGGAAGGUGGUGUAGUUAAUAGCUGCAUUAUUUGACGUUAGCGACAGAAGAAGCACCGGCUAACUCCGUGCCAGCAGCCGCGGUAAUACGRAGGGUGCGAGCGUUAAUCGGAAUUACUGGGCGUAAAGCGCAUGCAGGUGGUUUGUUAAGUCAGAUGUGAAAGCCCGGGGCUCAACCUCGGAAUAGCAUUUGAAACUGGCAGACUAGAGUACUGUAGAGGGGGGUAGAAUUUCAGGUGUAGCGGUGAAAUGCGUAGAGAUCUGAAGGAAUACCGGUGGCGAAGGCGGCCCCCUGGACAGAUACUGACACUCAGAUGCGAAAGCGUGGGGAGCAAACAGGAUUAGAUACCCUGGUAGUCCACGCCGUAAACGAUGUCUACUUGGAGGUUGUGGCCUUGAGCCGUGGCUUUCGGAGCUAACGCGUUAAGUAGACCGCCUGGGGAGUACGGUCGCAAGAUUAAAACUCAAAUGAAUUGACGGGGGCCCGCACAAGCGGUGGAGCAUGUGGUUUAAUUCGAUGCAACGCGAAGAACCUUACCUACUCUUGACAUCCAGAGAACUUUCCAGAGAUGGAUUGGUGCCUUCGGGAACUCUGAGACAGGUGCUGCAUGGCUGUCGUCAGCUCGUGUUGUGAAAUGUUGGGUUAAGUCCCGCAACGAGCGCAACCCUUAUCCUUGUUUGCCAGCGAGUAAUGUCGGGAACUCCAGGGAGACUGCCGGUGAUAAACCGGAGGAAGGUGGGGACGACGUCAAGUCAUCAUGGCCCUUACGAGUAGGGCUACACACGUGCUACAAUGGCGCAUACAGAGGGCGGCCAACUUGCGAAAGUGAGCGAAUCCCAAAAAGUGCGUCGUAGUCCGGAUUGGAGUCUGCAACUCGACUCCAUGAAGUCGGAAUCGCUAGUAAUCGUGGAUCAGAAUGCCACGGUGAAUACGUUCCCGGGCCUUGUACACACCGCCCGUCACACCAUGGGAGUGGGCUGCAAAAGAAGUAGGUAGUUUAACCUUCGGGCGGACGCUCACGCAGA
rnacentral:rRNA from 1 species